GUAGUCCACGCCGUAAACGAUGGGUACUGGAUAUUGGGACUUUAAGUCUCAGUGUCGUAGCUAACGCGUUAAGUACCCCGCCUGGGGAGUACGGUCGCAAGAUUAAAACUCAAAGGAAUUGACGGGGACCCGCACAAGCGGUGGAGCAUGUGGUUCAAUUCGAUGCAACGCGAAAAACCUUACCACCCCUUAACAUCCCGAUUUUGGAGCUCAGAAGUGAGCUUCGUCAGUUCGGCUGGAUCGGUGAUAGGUGUUGCAUGGCUGUCGUCAGCUCGUGUCGUGAGAUGUUGGGUUAAGUCCCGCAACGAGCGCAACCCUCACUCUUAGUUACCAGCGGGUUAUGCCGGGCACUCUAAGAGAACUGCCGGUGAUAAACCGGA
rnacentral:rRNA from 1 species